UAUUUUUUGUCUUUUUGAGACUGAUGUCUGCUAAUAUCUGCUACUGCAUUUGGUCAAAUCUUUGUUGCAAAAUAGAACACGAGAAAAAAAAAAAACAGAAAUCUACUCAGAAUGGUUCACAUUAAGAUAAGACGUGGUUGUAGUCAGGGUUUACAAAGGAAAAGAUUUAAUACAAGACACAUAAUUUAUAGGAUUCUUUCUGAUAGGAUUCUUUCUGAUAGGAUUCUUUCUAUUAUGAUAUUUGCCCAGAGUCAAAUGCAAAAUCAUGUGAGAGAUCUGUCCACAUACUAGAACUCAAAGAAUCCAGCUGAAGGCUUGGAUCCCACAGCAAAGUCCUGCACAAGUCCUGCUGAAGACCUAGAGCCUACAGCAAUGUCUCAUGCAAGUCUGUAUCAAGGAUCUAUACUGGGAAGGAUCCACAAAGGUCAGUGGUGGAAGCUACAAGGCUGCACCAGCAGGAUGACGGAUUUGUGCCAGCAGGCUAAGAGAUCUGCACUAGAGUGAGGAAGCAAUGCUUAAGGUGCCAGGUUCGGGAUUGACAAUCCUUCCAGUUCAGAGUAAGAGCUCUCAUUAGUUUCACCUGCUCCAGUGCUUUGCCUGUUACUUCAGGAGCCAGGUGAAAGGGAGAGAGGGUUGUGUCAGCCUGGGCAGGCAGAGGACUCUCUCGAUUGUUUCACCAGGAGAAACUAGAGGCUCCUCUGUGGGGAGUGGCUUCACCCCCGGGACCGUGACCUCCAUCGGCUCACAGCCCACCCCACCCUCGAGGUCUCUGAGACAGGCAAGAGCGUGUCCUCUUGCCCGGAAACCAGGCCGGGAGCAGCGACGAGCAGCGGUCUUCCGAGCUUGGCCCAGCCUUUGCGGGAUGGGGCGCGGUGUCCCUACCCCUGGGCGCCGGUGAUCCCGCAGCUGCUGAGUGCGGUGCUGUGCAAGGGGGCUAGCCCUGCACGCUGGAUGCCACCCGGGCCACUUCGAGGCGGAAGGCUGGCCUCCUCCAACCUGUUUGAGGGCUCCCACAUCUUCAUCUACAGCAACAGCUUCUCAGGAGCCAACAAAUGCGCGGGCCAGAAUGUCAGCAAGCCCAAAGGCUCAGCCCAGGGCAAGCGGGACAGAGACGGACUUGUGCCUGUGUGCAUGGAAUUUUUUUUUUUUUUUUAAAGGAAAGAGGCAGGGCCAGGGAUAUAGCUCCGUGGCACAGGGCCUGCCUGGCAAGCAUGAGGUACUGAGUUUGAUUCCCGGUAUCAGAAAAGAAGCAAUUCUGAAUCCCAUUUGUGUAUAAUGUAGGAUCCAGCAAAUAAGUUAAAGUAUAUUGAUUGAUGUUGGAGGAUCCAAGGUACUCUGGGAAAUGGGAAAGAAAUUGGAAUCAGGAAAAGAGGAAGAGCAUGAUUAGACUGGAUUACAAAUAUCAGUUAAUUUCUAUAGUUUCAUGCUUUUUGUAUGUAUUUGCUAGCUCUGCAAAAGUUUAAAGGUAAUAACUCAUAAACAAUGAGUUCAUCAGUGGCUGAGAUCCUACUUUUAACUACUAUUUCCUACUAAUAUGGAGUUGGAGAAAUAACUCCCGAGCUGGGUCAUAUGGAGUAUAUAAAGCCUGCACCGUCUUGUGGUAUAAAGUAAAAAACAUGCUCAGAAACGAUGGGCAGGAAGACCAAGUUCUGGAGGUUUAUUGUACAUCAUUGGUGACUAAAGUUAAUGUGUUAUACACUUGAAAAUCACUGAAGUAGAUCUGCCAUAUUAACCAAGUGAUUAAAUUUAGUGUGACUUAUAAGACAUUAGUUUUACAAUUGGGGAAAAUGAAAUAAAAAACUACAUAUUAAA